UACGUAGGGGGCAAGCGUUAUCCGGAAUUACUGGGUGUAAAGGGAGCGUAGUCGGUAAUGUAAGUCUGGAGUGAAAGGCGGGGGCCCAACCCCCGGACUGCUCUGGAAACUAUGUUACUAGAGUGCAGGAGAGGUAAGCGGAAUUCCUAGUGUAGCGGUGAAAUGCGUAGAUAUUAGGAGGAACACCAGUGGCGAAGGCGGCUUACUGGACUGUAACUGACGUUGAGGCUCGAAAGCGUGGGGAGCAAACAGG
rnacentral:rRNA from 1 species